CCUACGGGGGGCAGCAGUGGGGGAUAUUGCACAAUGGGGGGAACCCUGAUGCAGCGACGCCGCGUGGGUGAAGAAGCGCCUCGGCGCGUAAAGCCCUGUCAGCAGGGAAGAAAAUGACGGUACCUGAAGAAGAAGCCCCGGCUAACUACGUGCCAGCAGCCGCGGUAAUACGUAGGGGGCAAGCGUUAUCCGGAUUUACUGGGUGGAAAGGGAGCGUAGACGGUAUGGCAAGUCUGAUGUGAAAACCCGGGGCUCAACCCCGGGACUGCAUUGGAAACUGUCGGACUAGAGUGUCGGAGAGGCAAGUGGAAUUCCUAGUGUAGCGGUGAAAUGCGUAGAUAUUAGGAGGAACACCAGUGGCGAAGGCGGCUUGCUGGACGAUGACUGACGUUGAGGCUCGAAAGCGUGGGGAGCAAACAGGAUUAGAUACCCCAGUAGUC
rnacentral:rRNA from 1 species